rnacentral:misc_RNA from 1 species
UCUCCGUUGGUGAACCAGCGGAGGGAUCAUUACCGAGUUUACAACUCCCAAACCCAUGUGAACAUACCUACUGUUGCUUCGGCGGGAUUGCCCCGGGCGCCUCGUGUGCCCCGGAUCAGGCGCCCGCCUAGGAAACUCAACUCUUGUUUUAUUUUGGAAUCUUCUGAGUAGUUUUUACAAAUAAAUAAAAACUUUCAACAACGGAUCUCGUGGUUCUGGCAUCGAUGAAGAACGCAGC